UGGGAGACACCCAGGAGCAACUAGAGACGGCCAGCAGGGUAGACCAGGCAACCUAGGGACACAGAUGCUAUGUCCAUUCUCUCCCUGCCUUGGCCGUGGCCCACCUGCCCUGGAGCACCCUCCCUCCUUCUCACUGUGCAUCCAGCUCACACUCAGAUCCCCGAGGCCUUGCUGAAGUUCUGGCCCUUUCCUUGAAGCCCAGCAGAGCAAAAUCACUGAUCUGUUCUCUGAGCCCACAAUUUAACAGGAACAGGACUCCCCAGGGGCCUUCAUAUGUGAGUGGGCGUUGGAAUCUGUAGCAAGAGAAGACCAUGGUUGCUGUUGGAAGGAAUCUUGAGUUUUCUCCAAAGGAAACCAGGUAGCUAAGACUCUCCUUCAGAACUCAGACCAGAUUCAUUUCUGGGUCAGUGAAGAUACAUCCUCUGGCUCAGGGUCUUUCCCAAGCUGCAAUCCGGAGUCAGCUAGGGCUCCAGUCAUCUCAAGCCUCACCCAGGGAAGGAUCUGCUUCUAAGUUCGCUCAAGUGGCUGUUGGCAGGCCAGAGACACCGGUGCCUUGCCACAUGGCCAUCUAUGUAGGAUUACUCAGAACAUGGCAGCUUCCUUCCCCCAGAGCGAGCUCCAAGAGGAAGGGUAGGAAAGAUGGAGAGAGAGAAGCAAGCCACCAGAUCCGGCCUACACUCAAGGGAAAGGAACCACUGGAAGUCAUCGUACAAGCUGCCUACCUAACAAGGAUACCAUAAAAGGUAGUGCUUCUCCAGCUAACUCCUAUGCAGGACCAACUUUUCUUUUUUUUCUUAAUUUUCA